UAAUUUUUGUGAAAUUAACUUGAUUUGAAUUAAUUUGAUACGAAAAAAUUGAUUUUCAGGCACUGGGUACCGAUACUAGGUAUUGGGUACCGGUACAAGGCAAACCGGUACUGUUUUGAGGUACUGCAGAACCCGAACGUUUUUUUUUUUUUGAGAGAAAGGUAGCAUGCUAUUGUCUGCCACCACGAAUGACGCACCUCACACGGUCGAUGGAUUUCAGCCAUCGAGUAGUAUUCAUGAUUCAGAUGAGUAUAUA
rnacentral:lncRNA from 1 species